rnacentral:rRNA from 1 species
GACGAACGCUGGCGGCGUGCUUAACACAUGCAAGUCGAACGGAAAGGCCCUGCUUUUGUGGGGUGCUCGAGUGGCGAACGGGUGAGUAACACGUGAGUAACCUGCCCUUGACUUUGGGAUAACUUCAGGAAACUGGGGCUAAUACCGGAUAGGAGCUCCUGCUGCAUGGUGGGGGUUGGAAAGUUUCGGCGGUUGGGGAUGGACUCGCGGCUUAUCAGCUUGUUGGUGGGGUAGUGGCGUACCAAGGCUUUGACGGGUAGCCGGCCUGAGAGGGUGACCGGCGACCAUGGGACUGCGGGACGGCCCAGACUCCUACGGGCGGCAGCAGUGGGGAAUUUUGCGCAAUGGGCGCACGCCUGAUGCAGCAGCGCCGCGUGCGGGAUGCCGUCCUUCGGGUUGUGAACCGCUUUCGCCUGUGACGAGGCGUGAGUGACGGUAAUGGGUAAAAAAGCACCGGCUAACUACGUG